rnacentral:lncRNA from 13 species
AACCCUCUAAGAGUGAGGGAAAUAGACACAGCUUUUUACUGACCCUCAGGGACAGUGCAUUCCCUCUGCAGAGGCCGGCAGGAGGAGCCCCUCAGUGGAAAGAGCAUCUCUUUCCAUGCAAGGAAUAAGGUCACUGCAGGUGCUCUGUGCGAAGCAGAAGGUGACAGAGGAAGUAUGGCCCAGUGACCCCAAAACAAGUGGGAAAAUUGUCCAUGUGGAAUAACUUGGUGCUCAGACAGAAAAUCCUCUAAGAAAAACUGACUGGGAAAAUGUCCCGCUAUCAACUGUGGUUCCAGAUGGAGAGCUGGUGAUGUCAUGUGAGGAAGACUUGACCAGCCAUUGUGAGCUUUGAAGAUGGUGGAAGGGGCCAUGAGCCAAGGAAUGUGGGCAGCCCCUAGAAGUUAGAAAAGGUAAGAAAAUAUUUUCCCUGAGCCCCCAGAAAGAAACACUGCCUUGCCCACCCCCUGAUUUUAGCCCUGAAUUUAGGAAUGAUUUCAGACUUGUGACCUCCACAAGUAUAAUACAUUCUUGUGGUUUUAAGCCACUAUAUUUGUGGUAUUUUGUUAUAGCAGCCAUAGGAAACUAAUUUAGAUUUCUAUUCUUUUCCACCCAUGACUCAUAAAGGAAAUGUUUCUUACCUUUGGCCUACAGUUCUUGUUCAGUUGCUCAAGCUCCUUCCCUUAGGACACCAGGACAGAAUCGCUAAGAUUGCUAAGACCCCAGGACAGUUUCCGGAGGUUUUGAGAAUGAUGCUAAAGAAGAAAUGGAAGAUGGAGAAGAGAACUCAUUUUCCACUAAAGAAGGGAUGACAAAAAAGAACCAGUCUCCUUGAUUCCCACGGAUGCAACACAAGCCUAUGGCUUAGGUUGGCCCGUCGCUCAUGGCCCGGGAAAUCAGCAGGCUUUCUCUCUUUGCGCUUCUGUCUGGGCCAUCCUCACUGCCUCGAGCUUCGCUUUCUACCCUGAGAAACUUCUCUGUCCCCACAUGCCUCCCUUGGACUUCCCUGGUAGCAUUCACAGUCUUUGCAGAAAGUAAAACAAGAUGAGAUGGGUGUUUAGAUGUAAGUCCCAUAUUUGAUACUCCACCCUAGGUCCCGCUGGUAGUUCACAAUUGUCUGGGAGUGUUUGUCUAAUGCCUCAGUAGAUGACUCUGGAGUGCAUGAAUGAAGAAUGGCAGACGGUGACCUACAAUGCAAAACCACUCACAAUAACCUGUGACCGUUUACUGUAUCCUUAAUGGCAGUAACAGCAGUACUAGUGAGAAUGAUCUGAUGGGUAGGGCAGUGAAGGAU